CGAACUUCUACGACGAACAGCCUCCACCAGCAGGAUCUCUACUCCGAACCUUUACUACAAGCAGUCUACUCUGAACUUCUACUAUGAACGGUCUACUUCGAAUCUCUAUUGUAAGCGAAUUCCAUCUGAGCUUCUACUGCAAACGAAUUCCUUCCGAACUCCUGUUACAGGCGGACUUCAAUCGAGCUUCUUCAAUAAGCGGUCCCCAUACGAACUUCAACAAUGCCAACCGGACUUCCACAGGACCCUUCAGACUCCUUCAGCGGACGAACCUCCGCAACGCCAUCCGAAGUCCACUGUCGGUCGACCCUC
rnacentral:lncRNA from 1 species